UACAGAGGGGGCAAGCGUUGUUCGGAAUUACUGGGCGUAAAGGGCGCGUAGGCGGCCUUCUAAGUCGAACGUGAAAUCCCCGGGCUCAACCCGGGAACUGCGUCCGAUACUGGAUGGCUUGAGAUCGGGAGAGGGAUGCGGAAUUCCAGGUGUAGCGGUGAAAUGCGUAGAUAUCUGGAGGAACACCGGUGGCGAAGGCGGCAUCCUGGACCGACACUGACGCUGAGGAGCGAAAGCCAGGGGAGCAAACGGG
rnacentral:rRNA from 1 species